rnacentral:rRNA from 1 species
GACGAGCGCUGGCGGCGUGCUUAACACAUGCAAGUCGAACGGAAAGGCUCCAGCUUGCUGGAGUACUCGAGUGGCGAACGGGUGAGUAACACGUGGGUAAUCUGCCCUGCACUCUGGGAUAAGCCUGGGAAACUGGGUCUAAUACUGGAUAUGACCUUUCUCCUUAUGGGGUUUGGUGGAAAGUUUUUCGGUGUAGGAUGAGCCCGCGGCCUAUCAGCUUGUUGGGGGGGUGAUGGCCUACCAAGGCGACGACGGGUAGCCGGCCUGGGAGGGUGAUCGGGCACAUUGGGACUGAGGUAGGGCCCAGACUCCUACGGGAGGCAGCAGGGGGGAAUAUUGCACAAUGGGCGGAAGUCUGAUGCGGCGACGCCGCGUGAGGGAUGACGGCCUUCGGGUUGUAAACCUCUUUCAGCAGGGACGAAGCGUAAUUGACGGUACCUGCAGAAGAAGCACCGGCUAACUACGUG